rnacentral:rRNA from 1 species
GUUGAACGCUGGCGGCAUGCCUAACACAUGCAAGUCGAACGAUCACAGGAAGAACUUUCCUUCUUUGCUUUCGCGUGGCGGGGGUGUGAGUAACGUCUAUGACCCUGCUUUAUGGCUGGGAUUAAUUCCUGAAACCGGUAGCUAAUCCGGCAUAACUUUUCAACCCCAUAGAUGAGUAGCUUCAGGCCUCUUUCCAUCCGCUUUUCCCUGGUUGGAUUAGCUAGUAGGUGGGGUAACGGCUUACCUAGGCGACGAUGCCUAGCUGGUCUGAGAGGAUGACCGGCCACACUGGAACUGAGACACGGUCCAGACUCCUACGGGAGGCAGCAGUAGGGAAUAUUGCGCAAUGGGCGAAAGCCUGAUGGAGCAACGCCGCGUGUAUGAAGAAGGUCUUCGGGUUGUAAAAUACUGUCAGUAGGGAGGAAGAGAGUAAAGUGAAUACCUUUACUCAUUGACGUUACCCACAGAAGAAGCAACGGCUAACUACGUG